AUACGUAAGGGGCGAGCGUUGUCCGGAAUGAUUGGGCGUAAAGGGCGCGUAGGCGGCGCGGUAAGUCUGGAGUGAAAGUCCUGCUUUCAAGGUGGGAAUUGCUUUGGAUACUGCCGCGCUUGAGUGCAGGAGAGGUUAUCGGAAUUCCCGGUGUAGCGGUGAAAUGCGUAGAGAUCGGGAGGAACACCAGUGGCGAAGGCGGGUAACUGGACUGCAACUGACGCUGAGGCGCGAAAGUGUGGGGAGCAAACAGGAUUAGAUACCCUGGUAGUCCACACUGUAAACGAUGAAUGCUAGGUGUAAGAGGUAUCGACCCCUUUUGUGCCGGAGUCAACACAAUAAGCAUUCCGCCUGGGGAGUACGGCCGCAAGGUUGAAACUCAAAUGAAUUGACGGGG
rnacentral:rRNA from 1 species